ensembl:lncRNA
CGGGGAUGCUGUGUUGAUGGGUAUGGAGCCCUGGAGGGCUGGUGCCAGAUGGGGGACACACAGGGCGGGUUAGAAAGGUGCCUCCUGCCAGCCAGUUCAGCCUUUCUAUGCCCCACACCUGGGUGGGUCUUUGACUCUUCCGUAUCCCUCACCCUUUUGUGCCACCCCCCUAAAUCAUCAAAGCCCCAGGGGGACCCACUCCCGGAGGCCACUGGCAUUAUUCACAGGGGUGGGGCUGGGUGAGCUGGGAGAGAAGUGGCCUGGCUCAAGGCUCAAAUCCUGGCCAGCUGAAGCUGCACUGGGGCUCUGAGCUCCCCAGGCUCCGGCAAGGACAGGGCCACCUCCAUGGUGUCUCUGCAUCGACCUCACCUCCAAGGACCCUCCAUCCAGCCUUCCCAGGCCUGCCUCUGUUCUGCAGGGAUGAAGCCAGUCCCGCAGGCUUCCUGAAGGCUCAGCACCUACUGCCAGCCCCCAGGCUUCCACAUGGAGACCCCUGACACCAUUGCCUGCAGUUAAUCUCUGCCUGGAUGCUGAAGCUGCAUCUGCCCUGUCUUGUUCUUUCGAGUUCUCCUCACCCCCUGUGCUCCCCUGGACAGUCCUGGCAAGGACAAGCAGGUCUUUCCGAAGGAGAGGAACCCCGGGUUAUCUGUGGAGGAAGAGACAGACAGAAGCAGGCCUUAGAAGACAGCCUUCAAAGGCAUCGUUUUCAACAGAGGACCAGCCACUUUGAUGACCCAGCCUCCCUGACGGCCAGGCUGAUGGUCAGGGAUGGGGGACACUGACUCCCUGUUUCUCAAGCUGUAAAGCACACUGCUUCCCCAAACUCAGCACUGCCUGCUCCGGCCACGCAGAGUAAAGGCCACGGAUUCCAAGAGUGGGGGCAGCACUGGUUGGGCUUGUGGGGUGUGGUGGGGAAGGGGAGGGGCAGGGACCAACCCACAGGAAGACCAGUAUGGUGGCAGCCCUGGGGAGCUGCGGUGGCUUCGUCCUCUCCCCAGUAGCAGGGACUGCACCCAGGCUCUUCACCCUGAGGUACAUCUCCAGUUAGUUUUAGUUUUAUUUGGAGACAGGCCCUGCCUCACUAAGUCACUAAACUGCUCAGGCUGGGCUUGAACCUGGGAUGGUCCCUCCGCCUCCCAGUACUCUGAGAGUACAGAGGUGCCUGUGCCCAGCUUGUCUUGGCUCUUUGAACCCGACAGCUCUGCCCCCAAUGCUGCUGCGGGCUCCACUGUCAACAUCUGCUCCUGGUCCUGGCUGCAGGGCUGGGGACAGCAGGUAAAACAUCUGCCUUCUGCAACUAGGCAGUUGAGACCUACUGGUUGGCACACCCUCCAUCUCACAGGAGUCACCUUGUCCCCAGACGCAGGGAAUGGCCUGUGUCUUCCAGAGCCACCCAGACCAGGGACCAAGCCCUACUCCACACCGAGCAGAGGCAAGGUCUGAGGCGAGUUAUCUAAUCCCUCAAGCCUCCAUUUGCUCAUGCCUCGUACAAUGGUGACCUGGUCACUGCACAGGGGAGCGGCGCUUGCUUCAGGACACAACCCAGGACCUGGAAGGUGAAAGGGCUCAAAAACAUCCUCUGAUUAGACUACCAUAUUUCACGGACACUAAAGACAAUCAUUUUCCCACAUUUUGAUAUCUCUAGAAUGGAGGCACAUUUUACAGCAGCUGUGAUUUUAAAAUCCUCCUGUCAGCCAGGUGUGAUGGUGCAUGCCUGUUAAUCUCAGCACUCUGAGAGGCUGCAGAGAGGAUCAAAAGUUCGAGUUCAGCCUGGGUAACUUAGCAAGACCCGGUCUCAAAACAUGAAAAAAGGAGUUGAAGAUGUAGCUCAGUGGAAAGGCCCUGGGCUCAAUCCCAGGACUGCAAAAAUAAAUAAAUAAAUAAAUAGC